ACGUACACUCCUGCGGGAGGCAGCAGUGGGGAAUUUUGGACAAUGGGCGAAAGCCUGAUCCAGCCAUGCCGCGUGCAGGAUGAAGGCCUUCGGGUUGUAAACUGCUUUUGUACGGAACGAAACGGCCUUUUCUAAUAAAGAGGGCUAAUGACGGUACCGUAAGAAUAAGAACCGGCUAACUACGUGCCAGCAGCCGCGGUAAUACGUAGGGUGAAAGCGGUAAUCGGAAUUACUGGGCGUAAAGCGUGCGCAGGCGGUUAUGUAAGACAGUUGUGAAAUCCCCGGGCUCAACCUGGGAACUGCAUCUGUGACUGCAUAGCUAGAGUACGGUAGAGGGGGAUGGAAUUCCGCGUGUAGCAGUGAAAUGCGUAGAUAUGCGGAGGAACACCGAUGGCGAAGGCAAUCCCCUGGACCUGUACUGACGCUCAUGCACGAAAGCGUGGGGAGCAAACAGGAUUAGAAACCCCAGUAGUCCCAUG
rnacentral:rRNA from 1 species